rnacentral:rRNA from 1 species
GAGUGAUCGAAAGAUGAAAAGCACUUUGAAAAGAGAGUCAAACAGCACGUGAAAUUGUUGAAAGGGAAGCGUUGGCCCCCAGACGCGCCCGGGAGGGCUCAGCCGGCACGUGUGCCGGUGUACUCUCUCCCGGGCGGGCCAGCAUCGGUUUGGGCGGUCGCUGAAAGGCCCCGGGAAUGUAGCACCCUCCGGGGUGCCUUAUAGCCCGGGGCGGCAUGCGGCCCGCCGGGACCGAGGCCCGCGCUCGGGCGAGGAUGCUGGCGUAAUGGGGGUUWWCGGC